CCUUGCUUGAUCUCCUUCACCAGAAGCUCCGAUUAUUUUUGCGGCUCGCCUUGUUUGGUGGUUGUUCACACCAUCCAUCGUUUACUGGGAUCAACACAUAAUCCCCGCGAUGUCAUCUAUCUGCCGCCAUUCAGGACCGAAGCUGCAGCCCACCGGCCGGCACCAAAGGUUAUUCUCAAUAUCACAAUACUCUACCCGUGAGAAUCUCUGCCGCCGCACAUGGUCGUUCCUAUCGCCCACUACAUCUGAAUGAAUUCCUACGCCAGCUUAGCAACUACUGUCUGCUGGGACGAUUAAUCUUCACUUUUACUAUUUUUCAGUCGUCUGAAAACAAAUUCGUCUCAGGUCGUUUUUUAGUCCGUCCGAUUCGCACCAAUCUCAGUGAUUUUCGUUUGUCCUCGGUUGGUUGUGGGUACGAGGCAGACCUUUUUCUGUGUUGUUGGGCUUUCGGGUUUGCGGGUCCAUGGUUUACGUUAUUCGAUCCACGAAACGCCAGGUGUUUUUGAAUUUUCUAUUCAGUCUGUGGGGCGGCGGCCUUUGUUGUAUCUGAGGAGGGGAUUGGUGGGGGGUGGGCCGAGGCGGGGCGGAGACGGCGGAGGGAAGGUGGCGGAGGGGAGGCGGGGGCGUCCUCGCCGGUGUUUAGCAACAGAGAUGGCGUGCGCCGAGUCCUCCGCGAGGAGAGCUUGUAAGCAGGAGGCAUGCUUCACAGUGCCGGCUGCACGCAGGUCAGAUGUCGGUUUGGAGAGGAGCUCGGCGGAGCUGCGCCGCCAUGUCCGCCACCAGCAAGCUUCAGUCGGUGGGUGCGACGGCAGUCGGCGGCGCCAUUGGGGCGCAAGGAAGGUGAUCAUGUUUUUAUUGAGUUCUUCUCUGCCAAGUGGAACAACAGGGACACAAGCCUUAUCUAACUAUAGUACAUUUUCUUUAUGUAUAGAUGAUUCACAAGUAAGGUGAUCAUCACAUAAAUGCAGCAUGUAUAUAUAAAUGAAAAUUUUAGGGAAGGGAGGGCAGUGUGUUGUUACCCAACGCAGCCCCCUAAACGGGUGAGAGAGAGGGGUGGUGGGGGUGGACAGUGUGGGUUCCUUUUGUUAGUCAACCUUCACGUUUUUGCAUUAACGGGUCUGCUAGGAGGCCCGUUUCAGGGCAGGUUCCUUUUACGUAAACUAGAAGGAGCCCAAGAGGCUUCGGCAGAUUUUCGACCUGAAGCAGGAAAGAAACAGACGUUUUUCUGUACUAAUGAGUUUCUAGACAGAGUAUAUACUUAGACAGGUGUCAAUCAUUGAGUGGAAUAAAAAACGACCUGACACCAAUUUAAAAUCAGUCGCCUGUUCAUUAGUCACUCCCUUAAUCUUUCUACUUGUGUCUUGGUCUACACGAUUUUCUUUCUUGAUCAGCAGUUCGUCUAUCUCUCGCACUGAAGGAUUUUAGAGUGGCCAGAUCGAUUUUGCACAACUGAACCUUUUUUCUCUGCCUUAUCUUCCAGGUGCUGCUUUAUGCCCAUGGGGAUUCCCUUAUCUUAGAAAAGUGUAAUGUAGGCAAAUAGUUUUGGGGGAUUACAAGGUCAACUGCUCGAUCCAUAUGGAUACGGUUCAGCAUUAUAGUGAAAUCGCAAGGUUUCACUUUUGACAUAAUUUUUCUGCUUGACAUUUCUUAAGCCUGGCUCUUGUAUAUUAUUCAUCUGCUGCAACCAAAAUCAUUUCUGUUAUUUUUUACACAUCUGCGUGCAAUAGUUGUUAUAAAUCACGACCUUCAAAUUAAGUUUAUAAGUGAUAUUUACUUAUUU